ensembl:lncRNA
UUCUGCCUGGGGGUUUCUCUGAGGCACAGGCAGGACAGCGAGGUGUCACCUCACCUCUGAGCUGCACAGGUGGGCUGCAGGUGACCCCUGCAGCCGUGCCCCGGUGCUGAGCUGCUCCCACGGGAGCUGCUGGCUCUGGCCAGCACUGCUCCCUCCCUGCCUGCCACAGACACCACCAAAGGAGAGGAGAUGCUGUGAAAAACAAGACCCAGAGUGACAAGGUGCUGUGGACCCACAUCCGCUACACAGGUGAAAGCACGGAAGGAGCAGCCGUGAACCUGACCGCGGAGUUCGGGCCCAUCCAGGUCAGGAACGGCUCCGUCGUGGUGCCCUGCGACGGCCUGUACCUCGUGUCCCUCAGGAGCUUCAUCUACCAGCCCAGGGAUGGGGUCAAGCUGAAGCUGACCCUGCAGGUCACACAGAAGACGACCAGAAGUGUCCCGUGGGAGGAGACUGUCCAGGGCAGUGAGAGCAGGGUGAACCUCAGCACAGUGCUCUACCUGUUCGAGCAGGACAGCAUCACGCUGUGGACCAGCUCCCACGCCAACAUCUCGGACCUGACCUUUAGCCUGGUGUUAGUAGGUGAGAACAAGUCCUAGCUGCAGGAGCUGGAGUAUGAAGAGCAGCAGGGAAAGCACAGCCUUCCCCACCGAGCUGUAGGUUUUGUACUUGUCCAGGCAGACUGCUCUAGAACCCCUCGUGGGGCUGUGGAGGGCCUGGGUGGGAGUGCAGAUGAACCACAGGUUUUAUAUAGUGCACGCAGGAUUCGCCUCUUUGGAGCUCUCUGCAGCUGAUUUGCUGCCCAGGAUGGAUCUUUCCAACCCUGGGGAAAGGGAUGCGUGAAGCUCUUUUGAGAAGAACAGAAAUGAAAGCCAAAGAAAGUCACCCAAGCUUAGCUCAUAUUCAGAGAAACCCCGGGUUUCCCUAUUUACUUGACAGUAUCUGUAUAUAGUAGAAAUGUGUUGUGUUUUUUCUCAAAUAAAAGUCUGGUGAGUCAGGAAGACACCUCAAGUGUCUUGAAGCCAAUUGGAGCAGGAAGAGCACAAAUCUGCCCAGCAAGAUGGAAAACAGGGAAGAGGCAGCCUGAAAUGCCUUUGGAGUGAGCCAGAUAAAGGCUGUGUGAGAGGGAAGGGCCGUGAGAGAAGGUGGUGCUUGGAAAUGAGCUGACAGGACCGCACCGGGCAGCAGGAGCACUGACUGUGGAGUUUUGGGGAGAGCCUUUGAGAGCGGAGCCCCACUGGCUGUUCCAGCUGUCUGCAGAUCACUGAUGCCUGUGCCCAUCUGCUGGGACAUUCAGGGCCUCAGAGGAAAACCUCCUUCAAGCACACACACACUGGCUUGACCCAAAAGUGAUCCAGGCACAUAAAAAGUUGGGCAAACUUGUGGUGAGCUCUCUCUAAUGGACCAAGGGGAAGCUGCAGGUCUGUGCAGCCUCUGCUCAGGGAGGACUCGGAUGGUUCUCAUGCCUGCCCUUGGCUUUGUCCCACAGGUGUGACCAGAGAUUCCCAGGCACAGCUGCCUGCUGCUGCAGUCAGACGUGUCUCAGUGACUCUCCUGCCUGCUCUGACUGCAGCUGCUGGAGACAGGUCCUGCCCAUGCUGCAGGCAGCCCCUGACCCCAGCACAGCCAGCAGCUGGGGCAGUUUUGCUUGCAGCAAGGCAGAUUUUAACUACCUGUCAGUUUUUGACUUUGUGUCUCCCAAGGAACUCCAUUGACAUUUCAGCAUGUCACUGCUGGCUGCACGCUCCAAAGUCUUUUGUUAGAAGUAUUUAUGUAGUUAAGUGAUGGGCAUAAGAAUGUUACAUCAGAUUGCUUAGAAACCCUGGGAAGGGUUCAGAGCAGAUUGCCAGCACCAAACUCCUCUUUGAAGAUGCUCCCAAUGCUCUGGGCUGUUCCUGCUUUGCAGACACCCAGACCUGGACUGAUGCACUCAUGGCUGAGCACUCCAGCAAGCUCAGGUGCUGCAGGCAACUAUGGACAUCCUCCAGGCCUUGGAGAGUUUUCCUGGGCUUUAGGCUAAGGAGCUUCCCUACCUGGCCAGGCUGGAGCCUCAGGGGAAACUGGCUGAAGCUUUUCUCCCCUCAUCUGAGAAGCUGUGGCUGACUUGCACCUACAGGAUGCUCAUCAUUAAGAGAUAUUUUGGGCUUUAAACUCUGGCCAUGCUCACCACCAGUGGACUGAAGGAAGCUGCACCCUGCCCCGAAGCUGGGGAUUGUCACUCCCCAGCAGAAGUGAGAACGUGUUUCUCUUCCUAAAAAAUAAUACAUUUUUCCUUUGUAGUAUUUGGGCUUGUAGUGUCCCUUGGAGGCGGGGGCUGUGGGAGAAGGAGGUUGGAAGUGACUGGUGAAUGAUACAUUCAGUGUUUGAGCAGACAUUUUCAAUGGUAUGGAAACUAUAUGACAUUUUCACCUACUUCCUUUUUUUAUAGUUCAGCUUUUGUUUCAGCUCUCCAUGAGGGUGUGCAGGGCUGGUGCUUCCCAGCGUGUGCUGACACUGGGCAGGCCGUGCCUGUGGUGUGUGCAGGGGUGCACAGGACAGCAAGAAAGAUGAAGCCUUUCUCUGAAGAGAGCACAAAUGGAUUUGUUGUUUGGAAGGCUGCACCCUUUCUUCUUGUUUAGAGUAGGAGAGGACAUUUCACUCACUGAUCCCACUGCACUUCCAGGCUGAACUGGACCGAUCUGCAUCUAUACAUAUACCUGCACUUGUCUUGAAAUAAAGGUUGAAACAAUUCAACUCCUGC